UAGAACAGGACCUGAAGUUCAACAACCUUCCAGACCAAGCAGUCUGAUCAGCAGGCGUUCCAUAUUAAUACUGCCAGACAAGCUGACUAAUGGAGUGGAUGAGAUUAAUAUGGUUGGUGCAACAGAUCAAGGUUGCAGUUCCAGGGACCAAAAACAUAGUAACGAAGCUACUUCAUCGAAGGCAGUUGUUGUUGAUGUCAAAGGGAGUUCAUGGGAUUUCCCCGCCCCCGAUUGUGAUAUUAUGAAGUUCAUUGUAGAUCCCACACCACCUCAGAAAGUAUCCAACACACAAGGCCUUGAUCCUAUGGCAGACCCCGGAUCUGUGUGGACAUUGGAUGGGCUGGAUGAUGAUGUGUAUGAAAUUCUGGAAGCACAGGCUAUUCAGAUCAAUGAGAAAGCAAAGGCCAAGCAUAGGGAUGUAAAAGUUGCAGGAACAACUCAAAUUAUCGGGUCAACAUCUUAUGCUGCACCAGAGGUUCCAUGAGAAGAUUCUAGCAAUAGCAAUUAUUCAGGAGCAGCAGUCAAAGUUGCAGUAACACCGCUACCUCUUGGGACAACUUCUUAUGCAGCAGCACCAGCAAAACAUGCAGACCCCACCAGCUGCACCAUAUCAAGAGCAACAGCAAAAGUUGCAGGAACAUUGCAAGCUGUCAUGACAAGCUCCACCGGGACACCAUCUUUUGCUAUGCCGGAGGCGCCAAGAGCAGAUUCAAGCAGCAGAAAGCAUUCAGGAGUAACGGCAAAAGUUGCAGCAACACCCUCUUAUGCAGCAGCACUAGCAAAAGAUGCAGAUCCCACCAGCAGCAAGAUAUCAAGAGCAACAGCAAAAAGGUGCAGGAACACUGCAAAGACGUCGGGACAAGCUCUCACACAGCAGCACAGGCACCACAAGCUGUUGGAGAUCUUUCCAUCACACCAGAGUAUGCACCUCCACCAAGAAGAGAGCACAAGCUGCUUGCUGCACUACAGUCCCCUUAUCUUAAUGGUGCAAGGAAGGUUUCGUUCAGCUGCAGUAGAGCCGUGACAAAGACUUAUAACGCAGUUUGUAUGUUCUCAGGAAGGUCAACGAGGUCCAAGAACAGGAAUGUAGUCAUAAUCAACUAUUUGUCCAACUAUGCUACACUGGGACAUUUAGUUGAUUCAGUUAAACCAGGGGGAAAGCUAACCAACACUAUCGCAGAGAUUGGCAUUCAUGUAAUUAAUGGCAAGAAGAAAAGGGGUGCAACCAGAUGGGUCAUGCCGCUAUACAUUACGACAUUCCUGCAAAGUCAACAAAUUUGCGCAAGCGCGGUCAAACAUGCACUCACAAAAAGUGAAAACAAUCUAAACCACCGGCAACUGGUAUUGUUCCCUGUGUUGCAAAGGCUUGUCUCGAGCGAUAUACAGUCAGGGCACUACUUCCUAAUUGUUCUGAACCUUCGGAACAACAGGUUUGAAGUCCUCGACUCUAUGAGAACACUGGAGAAUGAAGCGCUGGCACAGUGCUGCAACACAAUCACCAGCGGAAUCAAACAGUUGUGGAAAAUCUACUAUGCUCAGACACUAUGUUACACGGAUACUGGUACGGGUAUCGGAUACGAUACGUAUCGGAUACGCGGAUACGCACUUUCCCAAAAAACACUGAUAUGCGGAUACGGCUAGAAUAAUUAAUAAUUAUAUAUAAAUAUCACAUAGAUAUUCAGCAAGUGAGAUUUUACUCUUGAGUAACUUCCCCUAUACUCAGAUGUGCAAUACUUGCAUGUCCAUAUAACAUUACCUCUAUAACUAGCCUUCUCUAAAAGCACAACUGAUUCCACAAGGGGUUCUUCAGUUGCUGCUCAUCUAGUUCUAUUACAGCAAGUUCAUCAUUUUAUAUAAUCUCUUACUACCAAAACAGCAUUUCGGUGGGCUGAUUACUGCUUUGGGCUGUAUCCCAUCUGGCCCAAAAGUAUCGGAUACGCGUAUCCAAGCAAAUACGUAUCCGUUUUUUCAGGAUACGGCUAUAAACGUAUCCGAGUCGUAUCCGGGGCGUAUCCGUAUCCGAUACGUAUCGGAUACGGAUACGCCACCUCCUAGGAGUAUCCGCGUAACAGAGCUCAGACAACCAAGCAAAUAGAGAACAAUGAAACUGUUCAAAUUCCAGUUCCAAAACAAACAAACAACCAUGAUUGUGGGUUCCACAUGUUGAUGCAUGCUCAACAUUGGGAUGGACGUUUGGUGUGUGAGCUUCAUGAAAAGGACAUUCCUAACAUACGGAAGAUCCUGGCGCAUACAUGGCUCAGCUAUGAAGAAAAUGACGUAGACUGGGAGAGCAUCUUAAAUGCAGAAUAUGCUUUAUGGCAGCGGCUUCAAAAGUGGUUCUACAACACUGGACCCAACUACAGCGUAUCUGCAUCUGUAUUUUGGGGAGAAGAUCUGCUGUUUUUUUCUUCACAUUUUUUUUCUGGGGAUGAUGAUGGCACCGCAUGUGGAUCCAUGUGGUUACUGGAACCUAGAUGUUGGGGCCUUGGGGGAGGGGAAGAAUUGCAGAUGAUCGCAGCAUAAAAGACUUCGUUAUGUGUGACGUACCUAAUC